CCACACGGGGGCGGUAGAGCAGAAGACACGAGCGGAAGGGGAGUCUGCUCCCCGCAGAGGGGUGGAUGCAGGCGGGACUGGUGAGCACGGGCUGACUUUCACGUGUCGGAACCAACGGCUGAGCGAGCUCUGUCUGGACCUUACACCUGGCUCCAGUGCAGUACCGUCCAGAACAACUCCAGCCCAGGGCAGUGCCGCAGUGAGAACAGCCCCAGUGCUGGGCAGUGCCGCAGUGAG
rnacentral:lncRNA from 1 species